rnacentral:rRNA from 1 species
CUUCUUAGAGGGACUAUCGGUGUUUAACCGAUGGAAGNUUGAGGCAAUANCAGGUCUGUGAUGCCCUUAGAUGUUCUGGNCCGCACGCGCGNUUACACUGAUGAAGUCAUCGAGUUCAUUUCCUUCAUCGGAAGAUGUGGGUAAUCUUUUAAAACUUCAUCGUGCUGGGGAUAGAGCAUUGCAAUUAUUGCUCUUGAACGAGGAAUCCCUAGUAAGCACAAGUCAUCAGCUUGUGCUGAUUACGUCCCUGCCCUUUGUACACACCGCCCGUCGCUACUACCGAUUGAAUGGCUUAGUGAGGC